AGACACCAAGCAGACCUACACGGCUUCAGCUGUUUUUACAGGUAGCAACCUCCUGCAAAAAUUACAAUGAUUUUUCAGAAGAUGUACAGUCGGAAUACUCUAUCUAUUCCAGCGGGCACGAUGAACAGGUAUUCCCUCAGUUUUCAGACACAGCGCAAUACAAUAUCAGAAUGGAUCGCUACCCGAAUAUUUGAAUAAAUAAAACAGAAUUUUUCUCAAGUUGACAACUUGCCAUUGGGUUGUCAACUUGGGUCUCAGUUUAAAAACUGAUUCCAACACAAUGCCGGAUCCAAGAAUAUCAUCGAAAGACAACAUUUCUUGGAAUAUGGAUAACAUACUCUUAAACAGUCGCAAAACACUAGGAAUGUCAGCUAAAGGAUCGGUUCAAAGUAAUUCAUAACGUUGGCGUAGUGAAGAGAUGCUUUUUAAUCAGAUUGCGAUGUGUAAAAGACUACAAAGUAAACAAGAAAGGAUAAUAUGAUAAACAUGCACCUAUCGUGGACAAAAACACUGAUAAUGGGAUAUCCAAU